GGACGCCUUGUGUUCCUCCGGCCUUUUAGGAGGAGUCCUUGGCUCAGCCUUCCUGGCGUCGGCCUUCAGUCAAGAUUCUAAGUAACUUGAUUUGGGAAAGAAGAGCCACCUCACCUUUUUGGCAGUUAACAGUGCUUUUUGGGUUCCUCUAAAGGGAUGCUGUUUUUGGAAGAUAAGUAGCUGCCCUUUGGAGUAAAAGGAAAAGAAAUGCAAAUUCUGUCAUUCUUGGAUCUGUAUUAACUGGUAGACUAAUAGAAUGUUCUAUUGGCCGCAUGGCCCAUUGAAAUGUAUAAGUAAUUACAGAAGGCACUGAGCAUGGGCAACUUUGUUUUUGUUGUUGUUUUUUAAA